CUGCAGAGUUGCUCUGGUGAUGGCAUACUUAAAUUACUUAGCCACUUGGGAAACUUUAGAGUGAGUGAGUGACAUUACUCAGCUGUGUGGAACAUGGGAUAACAGUUUAAAUGAAAGGAAAAUACAGCAGUAUUUGAUUGAUAGUUCUAUGGAGACAUCACUUAGGAGUAUAUAUAGGAUUUACCUUCCCUGUAAAUUUAAUUUUAAUAGUCAGAUAAUGACAUGUUAAAACAGCAGCUUAAUCUAUAGAAGACUAAUUUCUCUCUCUCUUUCUCUCUCUCUUUUUUUUUUUUUUUUUUUUUUUUUUUUUUUUGCAUUUCAGGUUGGCUCCCUCCAGUUAUGCACCUUCUUCUGUCAGUAGGGAAGCUGUUUCAGCAGGGGAGUUGGACUUGAUGAUCCCCAGAGGUCCCUUCCAACACCUAGGAUUCUGUGAUUGCUUGUCUUCAGGAGCACUAUGGCCAGAAUGUACAAUCAGAAGAAUUUUUUUAUCUUCCUUUAUGAGGGAUAGAGAUGUUUGUGGAAAACACUCAUCUGCCUGCAAUAAUCAUGUUUCAUGUGCUUAGAAUUAGAUCAAUAACAUGGGCUCAAGUACAGCACUGACUUGAUUGGCUUACUGCUGCCUUUCUACUUAAGAGCUGCUCCUCCUGGCUGUGUUCUGCAGGCAAUCCCUCAGCACAUCUUUCACCCCCAAAAACAUCUCCAAGGAUUUCUGAAGGAAAUAUCCACCAGGUUCGGCCAAGAAGCAAAAGCACAACAGACUUUUUAAGCCCAUCUUGGGGCUAAAUAAAUAAAUGAAUUUAUAAUCUC
ensembl:lncRNA